rnacentral:rRNA from 1 species
AACGAACGUUGGCGGCGUGGAUUAGGCAUGCAAGUCGAACGCGAAUCCCUGGGCAACUGGGGAGGAGAGUGGCGAAAGGGGCAGUAAGGCGUGGGUAACCUACCCUCCGGGCCGGGAUAGCUUCGGGAAACUGAAGGUAAUACCGGGCGACGCAGCGAGAUCGCAUGGUCUUGCUGCCAAAGGUCCGCCGCCGGGGGAGGGGCUCACGUGGUAUUAGCUAGACGGCGGGGUAACGGCCCACCGUGGCAAAGAUGCCUAGCAGGUGUGAGAGCACGACCUGCGCCACUGGCGCUGAGCCACUGGCCAGACACCUACGGGUGGCUGCAGUCGCGGAUCUUCGGCAAUGGGCGCAAGCCUGACCGAGCGACGCCGCGUGUGCGAUGAAGGCCUUCGGGUUGUAAAGCACUGUCGAGGGGGAGGAAGCCGCAAGGUUGACCUAUCCCUGGAGGAAGCACGGGCUAAGUUCGUG